rnacentral:lncRNA from 1 species
GAGAGGCUGUCGUCAGUCCAGAGAAAGUAAGCAAGAGGAGGUGACGGAAGGAGGGAAACAGAGACAGAGACAGAGGAAAAGAGGAGAGAGACCGAAGGGAGAGUGGAAUGGUGGGGGAUGAGGGAGAGACUGAGAUGCAAAUAGGGAAACAAAAGAAGAAACAGAAAGGAAGAAUGACUGAGGAUGUGGGGGAGAGGAGGGGUGCGCAGCGGAAGACUUGCAGGAGAGAGGCCUGGAAGGGGUGGGAAUUGCUCCUGUAAUAUGCAAGAUUCGUAUUAAUGAAAUAAUUAAACUUCCCAUUUGCAACGCCCUAACACGAGCCUGCCAGCUUGCCGAGGGGAUGGUAACUGCUCUGAGUCCCGAUUUGUAUUCGCACUGGAGGCAGCUCAGACUCACCCCAUCUCCAAAGGGAAAAACCAAGUCUGCAUGUGGAGGCUGGAACCCCUAACAGAUACAUGUACCUGGCUGUGUUUUCCAAAGAUGGCUGCAACAAUAUCUGCCAUCUCACAUGCUUAUCUCAUGAUGUGACUUUGACACUCCUCCCAUCAAGCAGGCAAGGCUGCCAAAAUCACCAGCCCACCCAGAUUCAAGGGGAAGGAAUGCAGGCAUUAGGAAAUAAAGGAAGAUGCAGCUUCCUUCUGGCUCUCUUCGGACGCUCAUCCUUGGGAUCAGCCACUGUGUUACGAGAAUGUCCAAACUAGCCCAUGCAGAGAGAUCACUCGUAGGACUUCCUGCUGACAACCAACCUGACAGCCAGCAUCAACCACCAUGUGAUGCACACUCAGAGGUAGUCAAAAAUUAAACUCUGGGCCUUGCCGGGGCCCAUGAAUCAAGGUGGAUGCAUAUCCACGAAACCAACCAUCCUCCUCUUGGGAAAGGCAACCGAGGCAGCUGCUUAAAAGAGAACAGGCCCUAGGGAGCCUCAUAAGGAAAGACUUCACCCACUUUCAAGCCCAGGCUUGUGGAAAUCCAAA